AGUGGCGCACGGGUGAGUAAUGCUUGGGUAAUCUACCUUAUGGUCUGGGACAACACUUCGAAAGAGGUGCUAAUACCGGAUAAGACCACGUCCUGUUCGCGGGAUGGGGUAAAAGGUGGCCUCUCCAUGGAAGCUAUCGCCAAUAGAUGAGCCCAAGUCCCAUCAGCUAGUUGGUGAGGUAAUGGCCCACCAAGGCUAAGACGGGUAGCUGGUCUGAGAGGAUGCCCAGCCACACUGGAACUGAGACACGCUCCAGACUCCUACGGGAGGCAGCAGUGGGGAAUUUUGCGCAAUGGGCGAAAGCCUGACGCAGCGACGCCGCGUGAGUGAUGAAGGCCUUCGGGUCGUAAAGCUCUGUGGGAAGGGAACGAAAAGAAUCGGGGAACAAUACCCCUGGUUCGUGACGGUACCCUUCCAGAAAGCACCGGCUAACUCCGUGCCAGCAGCCGCGGUAAUACGGAGGGUGCAAGCGUUGUUCGGAAUUAUUGGUCGUAAAGGGCGUGUAGGCGGAGUGUUGUGUCGGGUGUGAAAGCCCUCGGCUUAACCGAGGAAAUGCACUCGAAACUGGCAUUCUUGAGUACGGGAGAGGGAAGCGGAAUUCCCAGUGUAGAGGUGAAAUUCGUAGAUAUUGGGAGGAACACCGGUGGCGAAGGCGGCUUCCUGGACCGAUACUGACGCUGAGACGCGAAAGCGUGGGGAG
rnacentral:rRNA from 1 species